rnacentral:rRNA from 1 species
AGAGUUUGAUCAUGGCUCAGGACGAACGCUGGCGGCGUGCUUAACACAUGCAAGUCGAACGAUGAUCCCCAGCUUGCUGGGGUGAUUAGUGGCGAACGGGUGAGUAACACGUGAGUAACCUGCCCUUGACUCUGGGAUAAGCGUUGGAAACGACGUCUAAUACCGGAUACGACCAGCCUCGGCAUCGGGUGCUGGUGGAAAGAAUUUUGGUCAAGGAUGGACUCGCGGCCUAUCAGGUAGUUGGUGAGGUAAUGGCUCACCAAGCCUACGACGGGUAGCCGGCCUGAGAGGGUGACCGGCCACACUGGGACUGAGACACGGCCCAGACUCCUACGGGAGGCAGCAGUGGGGAAUAUUGCACAAUGGGCGAAAGCCUGAUGCAGCAACGCCGCGUGAGGGACGACGGCCUUCGGGUUGUAAACCUCUUUUAGCAGGGAAGAAGCGAAAGUGACGGUACCUGCAGAAAAAGCACCGGCUAACUACGUGCCAGCAGCCGCGGUAAUACGUAGGGUGCAAGCGUUGUCCGGAAUUAUUGGGCGUAAAGAGCUCGUAGGCGGUUUGUCGCGUCUGCUGUGAAAACCCGAGGCUCAACCUCGGGCCUGCAGUGGGUACGGGCAGACUAGAGUGCGGUAGGGGGAGAUUGGAAUUCCUGGUGUAGCGGUGGAAUGCGCAGAUAUCAGAGGAACACCGAUGGCGAAAG